rnacentral:rRNA from 1 species
GACGAACGCUGGCGGCGUGCUUAACACAUGCAAGUCGAACGGUAAGGCCCUUCGGGGUACACGAGUGGCGAACGGGUGAGUAACACGUGGGUGGUCUGCCCUGCACUUCGGGAUAAGCCUGGGAAACUGGGUCUAAUACCGGAUAGGACUCCGGACUGCAUGGUCUGGGGUGGAAAGCUUUUGCGGUGUGGGAUGGGCCCGCGGCCUAUCAGCUUGGUGGUGGGGUGAUGGCCUACCAAGGCGACGACGGGUAGCCGGCCUGAGAGGGUGACCGGCCACACUGGGACGGAGAUACGGCCCAGACUCCUACGGGAGGCAGCAGUGGGGAAUAUUGCACAAUGGGCGCAAGCCUGAUGCAGCGACGCCGCGUGAGGGAUGACGGCCUUCGGGUUGUAAACCUCUUUCAGCACAGACGAAGCGCAAGUGACGGUAUGUGCAGAAGAAGGACCGGCCAACUACGUGCCAGCCGCCGCCGUAA